GCUAGAUCAAAGGCUGAACAUUUUGCUUUAGUAUAGAUGAGGGAAAUGAGCAAGUCCUAAAAGGUUUGCCCUGUUACGGUGUUUCAUCACUCAUACUGGAAGGAGAAGGAAAGGAGCCAUAUGACUCAUUUAAAAGAAAAACUGAUCUGACACAUCCUCUUGGUUUCCUAAGUCUUAUGACUAGCCAAUGCCUGAAAUAAUGAACUCCUCCAAGGCAAGAAAUCUGUUUUGAAGCUUCUCUGCGUUCACACACAGCAGCCUGGUUUCCUGGAAGGGCAUUUUCCACAUUGUGCGUUAUGGAUGAUCAUCCCAGGCAUCAGGUGUGAAGCCCUGCAUCCACAUCCAGGGGCUAUCAAAUCUCUCUGCAAAAGGAGAAGCUGGACUCAGGCACGUUUACAGUGAUGUGUAUGCAGUUCUGUGAAGGAAGCUGCAGAAGAAAAAGGUGAAAGAGGUGAGGAAGCUGCAGAAGAAAACCUGGAAGUUAGCAGAGCUUGAUCCAGAGGUUUAAGGAAAGAAGCCAUCUCCAUAACAUAAAAGUGCAAGGUGAAGCAGCAAGUGCUGAUGGGGAAGCUGCAGCAAGUCAUCCAGAAGAUCUUGCUAAGGGUAUGCACAGAUGUGGAAACAGGAACUGAUGUGUCCAUUACACCACUAGGACAGAGGCCAGAACAAUGAAGAAACCAAAUACUUGGAAGAGGGUAGAGAUAAUGAAUGGAGUCCAAGAGCCCUGAUUGUGCCAUAAAUGUCCAGAUAAUUCCAUACCUGAGGAUUAUGUGGUUUGUAAACUUGGCACUUAGAAGAACCAAUAAAAUCAUG
rnacentral:lncRNA from 1 species